AACGAACGCUGGCGGCAUGCCUAACACAUGCAAGUCGAACGAGACCUUCGGGUCUAGUUGCGCACGGGUGCGUAACGUGUGGGAACCUUCCCUUAGGUUCGGAAUAACUCCCCGAAAGGGGUGCUAAUACCGGAUAAUUUCUUCGGACCAAAGAUUUAUCGCCUUUGGAUGGGCCCGCGUUGGAUUAGCUAGUUGGUAGGGUAAAAGCCUACCAAGGCGACGCUCCAUAGCUGGUCUGAGAGGAAGAUCAGCCACACUGGGACUGAGAUGCGGCCCAGACUACUACGCGAGGCAGCAGUGGGGGAUACAGGAAAACGGGCGAAAGCCUGAUCCAGCAAUGCCGCGUGAGUGAUGAAGGCCUGAGGGAAGUAAAGCUCUUUUACCCGGGAUGAUAAUGACAGUACCGGGAGAAUAAGCGCCGGCUAACUCCGUG
rnacentral:rRNA from 1 species